rfam:Daphnia pulex DAPPTscaffold_189_Cont6797, whole genome shotgun sequence.
GAUAGUGUUGCCGAGUGGUCUAUGGCGGUGGUAUUAGGCACCAUUUUCUUCGGAGGCAAGAGUUCGAAUCCCUUCACUGUCA